UUACCUCUUCCCAUACAUUUCUUUGUCCUUUUACCUUUUCACAUUAUUUUUAACAAAGGCUGAACUAGUUGCGCAAAGGGUGUAAAAUGUAUUUCUAGACUAUACAGUGCCAUGAUUUACAUUUCUAGUUAAAAUUUCUGCAGCAUUUAUACACAGGGACAUAAUCAUUCAGUAUAAUGAGUGAAAUUUAGAUUUUAAAUUAAAUAGGCAAUGCUAUGAGUAAAAGUACAUCAACCACAAUUUUGGAUUUAGUUUCUUGUUCAUGGAAUUUUUAAACACAGAAUGGAGCAGCCAUGUACUGAACCACCAGCCAUACCUUUAGAAUCACUCCAUUACCUAAGCCACAAUUGAUAUGUGUAAAAAGAAAAACACAAUUGUGUCCACACGGCUCAAGGCCAAGUUGUACCUUAUUGUCAAACAUUUCAAAAGGUGUAGUCCCGUUGAAUUUUUUUGCAAAAUUGCUAAAAUUUACUUCAUUUUGAAAUCUACUUAUUUUAAGUUAACUUUAUUUCUGUGGUGUAUUUAUUUUGGAGGA